CCAAAUGAGGAGUCAUAUUUCUCAUUCCCUCAGCUUCUAAGGACUAGAUAAGGCAAACUGUGACGCAGAAAGAUAAUUAUGCAGACUGCUAGAGUUAUUGCUGGAAGUGCUUCAAGUUCUCAGCCUGAAAGUUGUCUUCACAGACCAUCGUACUCAUACUCUGACUUCUAGAUGGGGUAAUGGGGAAGCCAGAUUUCUAAACUGCUUUGCUGAUUUGAUCUGGGGCCCUGGAGUGCCAACAUCCUGUGAUAGCGGCUGAUUGUUGAUGCCUGGGAGGAUACAGCAGUGACGAUCCAAAUUUACAAGACUCAACAUGGUUUUCAAAACUUCCUUUUAAAAAAGAUGUUCCUGAGUUCUGGAAUCUGAACAAAAUAUGUCUGGUUAUUAUAUAAUUCUAAUGGUCCUUGUGGAUGCUACCAUUAGAGUUCAGUUAGUGUCUCAUCUAUCACUGUAAUAUUUGUAUUGUAACACUAAUCGUGGCAAAGUAUGAUUUGAUAAAUGCUCAUUCUCAAAUCUUUUAUUUUAGUGUGUUCAUGUAAGAUUAAUGACCAUGAUGACUUGAGAUAGAAUUUUUUGAUUUGUUGCUUUCUUUGUGUCUUCCAAUAUCACACAGAUUUGCAAAGAUAUCUAUGGCACAAGGGGAGAAAAUAAUAACUUAACUAGAGGAUAGGAGUAAGGCCUUCUAUUAACAAGACACUGUUGACAUUUCUAGGUAGAUUUCAGAAUUCUCCAGGCAUGCCUGGUAGAAAUUUUAGAAAUAAAAGCCAGGAAAGAAAGGCAGAAAGACUAUGUUGGGACAUUAGCAAUUUCUUCCUACCACAAUAUUUCUUUAUUCACUGUAAGUAAAUCUAAUGCUAAUUUAUUUAUCUGUCUAUCCUUUGAAUUACAAUUUAAAAUGUCAUAAAACAAAGAUUCAGAUAAGAUAGCUGAUUUGCUCAUAUUGAACGUCACAUUGAUUUUCACCAUCUGAGGCCCAUUGACAUCGUAUGGAUAUUAGAGAACCUGGAAUCACCAAGAUGGGGUUCUCCCACUGUUGUCUUCAUGAUCCAUGAUCAUUUGUACACAGUAAAUAUUUAUUUGAGUACAAUGACUUUACAAAUGAUACAUGCAGAUUCUGUAUACAAGGCUGAGAGUGAGUAGACCCAAUUUCAAACAAAAGGUUAUAUAUGUGACCAGUGAGAGUUUUCUAUCAUUCUCUAGGAGGCUAGACUAGGCAGAGUGCAAUUUAGGCCCCUGUGUGGUAAGGUGAGUUUUAAAAUUCCUCCUUUAUUUUCUCACUUGUUUUGGACAGCCAGGACCCAAAACAAAGCUAUUUAUUUGAAACCUCUCUCCUCUCUCUCUUCUUCCUCUUUCAUCAAUUUGAUUCCCUUUUUAUUAUCAUUAUUUAUGUUUUGUAUAACUAGAAAAAUAAUUUGUCAUGGAUUACAUCUUAUUUGCAAGAGGCUCUAGUAAGAUGGCAACAAGGCAUGCACAAUAUAUCAUAAUUUAGCAGCUUCUCUUGUAACUAUACUAAACUAGUGGUGGAAGAAAAUACAUAUAAACAACUCCGACAACAGAUUUUGAAUGAUCCAGUAACUUUGAUUUAUAUUUGGUAUUUGAUGGAACUGUAUUAGCAGUUAAAGCCAAUGGCUAAAUGAUUCCCAACACAAAAUGAGUCAGAAGUACAAAAGAAGCUUUACAAUGCACAAUAGAGAGCUCUGAGCCUCCCAGCUUAAAUUUCCAAAUUGCAGUGUAAAUUACAGGACUGCUUGUCAAUUUUAACUAACAGUUCUACCCAAUAGGGUCUAGCUAGGUAAUUCAUCCAUUAUUCCUUUAUGAAACAGUAAACACCAGCUAAAUUCCAUUGGCUUUUCUAAAUAAAAUUGCCUCAUCUCUCAUAUCUACUGCAGAGAAGGAGUGAAUCAACCUCUGACGACAGUAAGUCCCACACAACAAACAACAUGUGAAACCUGGAAUUAGUUAAAAAUGCUUUCCAUAUUUGUUAAUAGAAUUGGGUGCCAAUCAUCUUGAGAUGAUCUCAACCUUCCCAAGUUCUUUUGGUGGAAGGACUCUCACAUUCUUCUAUUUCCCCUCCUUACCCUAUAUUUUCUCUCAUCCCCAAAUAACUAUUUUCUCUUCACUUGUUUCCUCUAUGGCUUUCCCUGUCACAAAGAAGAAAUGAAUGAAAGAUUUGGAAGUCAAAAUCUAGCACUCCAAUUACCAACAUUAGCAGGAAGAGAAGAAUGUUCCAAAUAUCAACAAGAAUCUCAAAUCUAACCAAGCAAAAUAUGCAAUUAUGUAGGCAGAUGCUGGCUCAUCAGCCACUGAUAUAGACUGAUUUCUACCACUUCAUUAAUUUGACUUUCUUACUCUGGGCAAUUUGAUCAUACCCAUACAGCAUAUUUCUUAGCCAGAAAUAGAUUUGAUUGUUCUAGGCCAGGUGGGAAAGCCAAUAGAUUUGCACAAAUGCUUCACAGGGCAUCUGUAUUAUAGCAGGGAUGUGGGAAGUUUUAUUGUAGAGUUUGGAAGUGGACUGCUGAAUUCUCUUCCUUUAACCUAAUCAUGUCAUUCACGUGUGGAGCAUAGUCAGUCUUUACAUGUAUCUAUUGGUCUUUAUUGUUCAAUUUUUUUUUUUUUUUUUGAGAUGGAAUCUUGCUCUGUCACCCAGGCUGGAGUGCAGUGGCAUGAUCUCAGCUCACUGCAAAUUCCACCCACCAGAUUCAAGUGAUUCUCAUGCCUUAUCCUCUUGAGUAGUUGAGAUUACAGGUGCAUAUUGUCACACCUGGCUAAUUUUCGUAUUUUUAGUAGAGACGAGGUUUUGCCAUGUUGGCCAUGCUAGUCUGAAACUCCUGAACUCAAGUGAUCC
rnacentral:lncRNA from 1 species